GUGCCAGCAGCCGCGGUAAUACAGAGGUCUCAAGCGUUGUUCGGAUUCAUUGGGCGUAAAGGGUGCGUAGGUGGCGCGCUAAGUCAGGUGUGAAAUUUCGGAGCUUAACUCCGAAACUGCAUUUGAUACUGGCGUGCUUGAGGACUGGAGAGGAGACUGGAAUUCAUGGUGUAGCAGUGAAAUGCGUAGAGAUCAUGAGGAAGACCAGUGGCGAAGGCGGGUCUCUGGACAGUUCCUGACACUGAGGCACGAAGGCCAGGGGAGCAAACGGGAUUAGAUACCCCGGUAGUCC
rnacentral:rRNA from 1 species